AGCGAACGCUGGCGGCAGGCCUAACACAUGCAAGUCGAACGAUCCUUCGGGAUAGUGGCGGACGGGUGAGUAACACGUGGGAACGUGCCCUUAGGUUCGGAAUAACUCAGGGAAACUUGAGCUAAUACCGGAUGUGCCCUUCGGGGGAAAGAUUUAUCGCCAUUGGAGCGGCCCGCGUUGGAUUAGCUAGUUGGUGGGGUAAAGGCCCACCAAGGCUACGAUCCAUAGCUGGUCUGAGAGGAUGAUCAGCCACACUGGGACUGAGACACGGCCCAGACUCCUACGGGAGGCAGCAGUGGGGAAUCUUGCGCAAUGGGCGAAAGCCUGACGCAGCCAUGCCGCGUGAAUGAUGAAGGUCUUAGGAUUGUAAAAUUCUUUCACCGGGGACGAUAAUGACGGUACCCGGAGAAGAAGCCCCGGCUAACUUCGUGCCAGCCGCCGCGGUAAAAC
rnacentral:rRNA from 1 species